UACCAGCACCCCGAGUGGUCGGGACGUUUAUUGGGCCUAAAGCAUCCGUAGCCGGUUCUACAAGUCUUCCGUUAAAUCCAGCUGCUUAACAGAUGGGCUGCGGAAGAUACUAUGGAGCUAGGAGGCGGGAGAGGCAAGCGGUACUCGAUGGGUAGGGGUAAAAUCCGUUGAUCCAUUGAAGACCACCAGUGGCGAAGGCGGCUUGCCAGAACGCGCUCGACGGUGAGGG
rnacentral:rRNA from 1 species